GGCAGGGUGUCUUUUAGAGCCAGUGGCCUUGCAGCUCAGCAAUGGCUCCAUGUUCUCACUCAUCUGUAGGUACCAGGGUCCUGGCUCUCCCCUCCCAGAGGAGCUGAACCUCGCUCCUUCAAGAAGCCCCUUCAGGGGAAAGCAGGGCUUCUUGCUGACCUGGAAUAAUGACACAUGCCUCUGAUCCAGAGAUUCGUGUACGGAGCCAUUUGGGGAAACCACAGUGGAAACCCGAUGCAGAAAUCAGCCCUCAAAAUGGAAUUAACCUUUAGGAAGAUCUCGUAGAAUGGAUGGACCCUCAGCUGGUGUUACUUGACAUCUGUGCUAUGUGUCUCAAACCCAUGUUGUUUUUAUUAAAAGACCACGUCUUGCAAGUCAGGCUCUUCAAUGCCUUCUCCAUGGGCUGCUGGCCUGUGCUUGUUACAUCGGCGUGCGUGGCGGCAUUAGGUGUGAUUGGCGUGCGUUCCUCCGGAGGAGAUGGAGGCUGUGCUCUCGGGUGGAGGGAUGAGCUGUGCUCUGCGGGUCACCAGUCCUCUGCUCUAACACAUGUAAUUGAAGGGAUUUACUCCGUUGUCCAAUUUGAUUACAGGCAAGCUGCUGGGUAAACAAGGAAAAGGGAAGGCUUGAGUGAGACCAUACAGCUCAAAUGGUUCUUUGGAGCUGAUCUUAGCGACCUUGUUUAUGUAGAUGCAGUCACCAGUGCCUCUUGGGCACAGUCGUUGAAGGUCUCUUGCUCGUUGGAAGUGACUCAUCCAGCCAGCUCUGUUGCGGUGAACCUAUCUGGCAGGUUUUGUUUCCUGUUGUGGGCAAAUUGGGCACUCCUUAGAGCAUCAGGUUUCCAACCACCUCUUCUAGUGAGCAAGUCCUACGUUCAUGACUUCACCUGAGGAACUUGGGAUGACUUAUCAGGCAGUUCUGACCAAAAAUGGCACCUGAGGUGUUUGCCCCUUGAGGAGCUGAGUAACACGCUAAUGAGCGCAAGACAGAUCCUGCUGCUUCCCAUCCGAUGGGAAUUAAUCGUGCUUGUGCUGGAACAGAACCAGGCUGAAGGCUGGCUGACUUCUCAUGCAUUGAUUAGGGCUUACGUUUCAAGAAAGUACAAUCGAACUGAACUUUUCAAUAAAGUUUGAGCCAGGAAUGAUGUAUUGGUCAAUGAGAACUGCACCAAGAUCUCUUCCUUGAACAAGAACUGAGCUAGGGCUAAGCUGCUACACCUGGAGCAGCGUUGGUGCUGCAGUGCCCCCACCGAUGCAAAGUUGGAGACACACGCAGUAGCAUGGAGACUGAGUGAACCUGGCAUUCACAGCCUAAUUUACCUCAAAUCAAUGCCAAAGUAUUUAUCUUUGAUGAACCAAAUUGUUUGGCUUAGUGCUGGGACUUGGCAGCACACGCUGUUUGUGUCAGUAAAACGUCUUCCCAAGGCUGUCCUUCCUGCCUCCCCGCUGUGCGCAGGGCUUGCCUUUCUGCGCUGGGUUUUGGGUGAGGACCUCGAGCUGUCAGGCAGGGAUUAUCAGACUGCAGAGCCAAGGUGUCACUGCUGAACAUGGGACCUGCCCCUCGUCUGUAGGCAGAGUUGCAUGGCAGCAGAUGCUGUGAAAGGGGAAUCAGCACAACGGCUGCCAGAAGGGCCCUCCUUCGGGUUCCUUUGUCAUUGGCAGACAUCUAAAGAGAUGCAUUUAAUUUAAGUAGAGGGAAUGACCCUUUAAAACCAAGAGCCAUACCAGUGCUUGCUCAAUGGCUUAUUGCCCUGAGGAGCCCUGAUCGCAAGGCUCCUGCUGCACAGGCAGCUAUCGGGUAGGUGAAGCCAUCUGAACAUAGCAGAGCUGAGCUGGACCAGUCUGCCCCUCACCGCCUUGCAAACCAUUAAUCAAAUCCGUGCUUCAGCAAUGCAGACCUGCCCACAGCCCGAUUACUUAUUGCUUAACAAGUGCAUUAGUGUAAAUCAAGAGGCAUGUUUCAAUUAUCUAAUAGAAGAAUUAUUGAUCCACACUCUCAUUCUGAAUGUUCAAAUGUUCCAGUAGGAGAAACAAUAUUUGUAUAUGCUAUAAAAAAAAUCUAAAGUGUGUUUUUAUGUUUCAAUUAGAUUGUACUUGGCGAGCUGUUACGGGAUGCUUUUGUAGAAGCAGCUGUGGCCAAACUGUGACAGGCACAGAGUCAGCUGUGGUCCACAGCCCGGGUUCUGCUGCUGGGCUGCUGGCUCUGCUUGUUGUCAGUGGAUUGUGCAACAACGAGAGCACUAGAUGACAUUCCUCCCUUUCCGCUUAGGAUGCUGUGCAGGGAAGCCCAGGGCUUCAUUUUUAACUCGUCGUCCACUGAAAAGAGCAGCUGUUCCUCAAAAUGCCAAAUUUAGUUUCAGUGUAUUAAAUCAAAACGAGUUUCUUCUCCCCCUCCCUGCACUGUGGUUCUGAAAGUUGGGGAGGAGGAAGAGAAUUUGUGCUUCUUGAAGACAUGACAAGAGUGUAAGGAGCCUUAGGCAUCUCACUGAUAAAACAAACAUCCUGAAGGAGAGUUAAUACAAAGUGGAGUUAUUCUAAACCUUCUGGCUUUUAGUCCAUUGUCCUUUGGUAACUGUGUAAAAUGCAAUUGAAGGAUGUUCCUAUUUCCCUUUGAUAUAAAACAUGAGGCUAUUAUAGAAACUUAAAACCCAUUCCAGGCUCUUCUCAGCACUUCUUUUUAAAGCAGCUCAGUUCAGCUGUCAGUCCCUAGCUCCACUUUUAAUUAAAAUAGGUUUGUAGCCUUCACUGACAAGCAAACAUCUACAGUAAGUUCCAAACUGUAGAGCAACCCUUUCAGCUUAAGAAGGUUGUCAAAUAAAAUGUCACUUGCCCCCCUCUAUAUUUAAGAAUAAAUACACAAAUAAAGUUGUCACCUGGGAAGUUGUUGAUAACCUUUUUUCUGGGACAGGGAGCUUAGAUGAGAUAUAAUAGCAGUUGUCUGUGUACU